GGGGUGAUGGCGCAGUUGGCUAGCGCGUAGGUCUCAUAACUUGUAUUCAGUGAUCCUGAGGUCGAGAGUUCGAGCCUCUCUCACCCAA
rnacentral:tRNA from 1 species